rnacentral:rRNA from 1 species
CCUACGGGGGGCUGCAGUGGGGAAUAUUGGACAAUGGGCGCAAGCCUGAUCCAGCAAUGCCGCGUGUGUGAAGAAGGCCUUCGGGUUGUAAAGCACUUUAAGCAGGGAAGAAAAAACUCGGGUUAAUACCUUGAGUCUUGACGGUACCUGAAGAAUAAGCACCGGCUAACUCUGUGCCAGCAGCCGCGGUAAUACAGAGGGUGCAAGCGUUAAUCGGAUUUACUGGGCGUAAAGGGUGUGUAGGUGGUUUGACAAGUCGGUUGUGAAAUCCCCGG